rfam:Brassica napus, WGS project CCCW01000000 data, contig: 17824
AGCCGUGCAGUGGGGGCAAAGCGAACUAUUCUUUCGCCUUUUACUAAAGAAUACCGUGUUCUCUCUCCAUUUAGCGGCAUACGCCUAUUUUUGGAAAAGGGUUUAGAAAUAAACCU